rnacentral:misc_RNA from 1 species
AUAUGAGUAAUUAAAGAGAAAAUCAUUUCUUCUUUUUCACUUGUUUAAUUUUCUUUUUCGAACUGAAAAUGUUAUAGAUUUCCCUAAAAUUUUGAGUAUAUUGGGCUCUUUUAACCUGCUUGAGAAGUACAUCUUCUCUUUGGGACAUCAAAAUCUCUUGCAGGGAAAGAGAUCUUUCCACCUUGAAAUAGAUGAGUUUCAUAUGUUGAGUCUUG